GCAAAAGGGAAACCUUGCUGCAAGCUGACCUCAGGAGUUAAACCACAGGGCAGACACAUCUGGGGCUUCGGUGUCAGUUACCCUCAAUCUCUGUCCUUCUGCCAUCUGUUAGGAGUUUGGGGAUCUUGGAUAAGGGAAAGAAACUUCACAUCUCUGUUUCUUCCUCAGUAAAAGAUGCUUUCAUCAUCUCCUCUUUUCUCCCCCAGGGGCCUGGGCUGUGCCAUAAGCAGUGUCUCCAUUGAGAACGCAGCCGGGGACAUUCACACCACGGGCUACACCUCAGGUGGGCCAACAGUCCUCCUGAAAAUGAGCUGCAUCCUGAUUAUGGCUGGUAGUUGGGCACUCUCUCAGGAAACUUUUCCUCCAAUUUUUAAAAGAAAGAUACUGUUUUUAAACAUGAUUGGAUGUUCAUUUUGGUAAGUUGCCUUCUUCUUUGAAGAAUACAUAUAAGCUUGCCAUUUAUUUCUGGUAGUCCAGAAUAAUUUUUCCAUGGACUCAUAGCUAAAUUUAUUUUCUACCUCUGUUUUUUAUGGCUAUAUGACAAUGGAAUGUGUCUCCAGAGAUUUCCUGGUUUUGCUUGUUUUUAGGUCACCACUUCAGUCAUCAUCAGUAAUGCAGAAAUACAAGAAAAUGUGGCCCAUAUUCUCCAG
rnacentral:lncRNA from 1 species